rnacentral:tRNA from 1 species
GUUUCUGUAGUGUAGUGGUUAUCAUGUUCGCCUCACAUGCGAAAGGUCCCUGGUUCGAAACCAUGCAGAAACA